rnacentral:rRNA from 1 species
CUAUACAUGCGGUCGAGGGGUAACAUAAGUGCUUGCACUUGAUGACGACCGGCGGACGGGUGCGUAACGCGUAUACAAUCUACCUAUUACUAAGAGAUAGCCCAGAGAAAUUUGGAUUAAUAUUUUAUGGUAUUACGAUUUGGCAUCAAGUUGUAAUUAAAGGUAACGGUAAUAGAUGAGUAUGCGUCCUAUUAGCUAGAUGGUAAGGUAACGGCUUACCAUGGCAACGAUAGGUAGGGGUCCUGAGAGGGAGAUCCCCCACACUGGUACUGAGACACGGACCAGACUCCUACGGGAGGCAGCAGUGAGGAAUAUUGGACAAUGGGAGCAAUCCUGAUCCAGCCAUGCCGCGUGCAGGAAGACUGCCCUAUGGGUUGUAAACUGCUUUUAUACAGGAAGAAAAAGGUGUACGUGUACACUGUUGACGGUACUGUAAGAAUAAGGAUCGGCUAACUCCGUGCCAGCAGCCGCGGUAAUACGGAGGAUCCAAGCGUUAUCCGGAAUCAUUGGGUUUAAAGGGUCCGUAGGCGGGAUGAUAAGUCAGUGGUGAAAGUCUGCAGCUUAACUGUAGAAUUGCCAUUGAUACUGUUGUUCUUGAGUUAUUGUGAAGUGGUUAGAAUGAGUAGUGUAGCGGUGAAAUGCAUAGAUAUUACUCAGAAUACCGAUUGCGAAGGCAGAUCACUAACAAUGAACUGACGCUGAUGGACGAAAGCGUAGGUAGCGAACAGGAUUAGAUACCCUGGUAGUCUACGCCGUAAACGAUGGUUACUAGCUGUUCGGGUUAAUUGAGACCUGAGUGGCUAAGCGAAAGUGAUAAGUAACCCACCUGGGGAGUAUGGUCGCAAGGC